rnacentral:rRNA from 1 species
AGUGAACGCUGGCGGUAGGCCUAACACAUGCAAGUCGAACGGCAGCACAGUAAGAGCUUGCUCUUACGGGUGGCGAGUGGCGGACGGGUGAGGAAUACAUCGGAAUCUACUUUUUCGUGGGGGAUAACGUAGGGAAACUUACGCUAAUACCGCAUACGACCUGCGGGUGAAAGCAGGGGAUCUUCGGACCUUGCGCGAUUGAAUGAGCCGAUGUCGGAUUAGCUAGUUGGCGGGGUAAAGGCCCACCAAGGCGACGAUCCGUAGCUGGUCUGAGAGGAUGAUCAGCCACACUGGAACUGAGACACGGUCCAGACUCCUACGGGAGGCAGCAGUGGGGAAUAUUGGACAAUGGGCGCAAGCCUGAUCCAGCCAUACCGCGUGGGUGAAGAAGGCCUUCGGGUUGUAAAGCCCUUUUGUCGGGAAAGAAAAGCAGCAGGUUAAUACCCCGCUGUUCUGACGGUACCCAAAGAAUAAGCACCGGCUAACUUCGUG